rnacentral:rRNA from 1 species
AUUGAACGCUGGCGGCAUGCUUUACACAUGCAAGUCGGACGAGUGGCGAACGGGUGAGUAAUAUAUCGGAACGUACCGAGUAAUGGGGGAUAACUAAUCGAAAGAUUAGCUAAUACCGCAUAUUAUUCGAGCGGCCGAUAUCUGAUUAGCUAGUUGGUGGGGUACAGGCCUACCAAGGCAACGAUCAGUAGCGGGUCUGAGAGGAUGAUGCGCCAGACCGGGACCGGGACACGGCCCAGUAUCCUACGGGAGGCAGCCGGGGGGAAUUUUGGACAAUGGGCGCUGGCCUGAUCCAUCCAUGCCGCGUGUCUGAAGAAGGCCUUCGGGUUGUAAAGGACUUUUGUCAGGUAAGCGGUACCUGAAGAAUAAGCACCGGCUAACUACGUGCCAGCCGCCGCGGUAAUUC